GGCUUGAAGCUGUACCUCAGUCUGGACCAUGUGUUGGCGAUGCAGGCGGAGGUCGAACACGCAGCCGUACAUGUCGAUGGUUCCUUUAGAGUCCAGCUGCUGCAGAACGCGAUCCAAUGCGACGAAGGUCCCCUGUACGAUGGUGGCGCCGGUGCUGGGUGAUCGGUCCACAUAGUCCCGGACCGUCCUGACGAACUGGAUCAGGGACUGGGUGCUCUCUGGGACUCCGUGAUCGGGCCACACGGUGUAGUGGAAGUGACGCAGCACCCGAGGGUAACUGCAGCUGCUCUCCUGUCGGGAUUCAUUGAUGAGCUGUUAGCGCAGAUCAAUAAAAAGACGAACUAGCAGGAGGCAGAAUGAGGCGAGGAGCAGGUACCGAGGUGAUCCUGAACUCUCUGAUGGUCCACUCAGGCAGCACAGACUCCGACAGCAUCUGAAUGACGAGGUCACCGUAGUACAGGGGCUCUCGGUCUGCAGGCCAGUACUGAUCACACUUCACCUGCGACAGAAACGCACCACUGCAAUCUGAUCCCAGUUCAGCCUGUUCUCCACUUGUUACAAACUUUUCAUGUUGCAUGAAUGUACAAAAACUAAAUAAAUAAAUAAAAUAAA